rnacentral:rRNA from 1 species
UGGGGAAUUUUGGACAAUGGGCGAAAGCCUGAUCCAGCAAUGCCGCGUGUGUGAAGAAGGCCUUCGGGUUGUAAAGCACUUUUGUCCGGAAAGAAAUCCUUGGCUCUAAUACAGUCGGGGGAUGACGGUACCGGAAGAAUAGGCACCGGCUAACUACGUGCCAGCAGCCGCGGUAAUACGUAGGGUGCAAGCGUUAAUCGGAAUUACUGGGCGUAAAGCGUGCGCAGGCGGUUUGCUAAGACCGAUGUGAAAUCCCCGGGCUCAACCUGGGAACUGCAUUGGUGACUGGCAGGCUAGAGUAUGGCAGAGGGGGGUAGAAUUCCACGUGUAGCAGUGAAAUGCGUAGAGAUGUGGAGGAAUACCGAUGGCGAAGGCAGCCCCCUGGGCCAAUACUGACGCUCAUGCACGAAAGCGUGGGGAGCAAACAGGAUUAGAUACCCUGGUAGUCCACGCCCUAAACGAUGUCAACUAGUUGUUGGGGAUUCAUUCCUUAGUAACGUAGCUAACGCGUGAAGUUGACCGCCUGGGGAGUACGGUCGCAAGAUUAAAACUCAAAGGAAUUGACGGGGUCAUAGCUGUUUCCU